rnacentral:rRNA from 1 species
CCAAGGAGUCUAACAUGUGCGCAAGUCAUUAGGUGAUUAAACCUAAAGGCGUAACGAAAGUAAAAAAAGCUUUGCUUUAUUAGGGAAGAUAAUUAUUAACUUUUAGUUUUAAUUCGUACUCCCGGGGUGUCUAUUACUCAUUGUGAGUGAAGGCACACCUAGAGCGUACACGUUGGGACCCGAAAGAUGGUGAACUAUGCCUGGCCAGGAUGAAGCCAGGGGAAACCCUGGUGGAGGUCCGUAGCGAUUCUGACGUGCAAAUCGAUCGUCAGAGCUAGGUAUAGGGGCGAAAGACUUAUCGAACCAUCUAGUAGCUGGUUCCCUCCGAAGUUUCCCUCAGGAUAGCUGGUGCUAAUGAAAUCUGAGUCUCAUCCGGUAAAGCGAAUGAUUAGAGGCAUUGGGGCCGAAACGACCUCAACCUAUUCUCAAACUUUAAAUUGGAUGAGAUCCUUGAUUUUCUCAAAAAAUGAAGUCAGGGAUAAGGAUCAAAGUGCCAAGUGGGCCAAUUUUGGUAA